UUAUAUUCAUGACUAAUAUUUAUUUUUAAAACAAAAAUAAACUUAGUGAUAAAUAUUAUUAUUUGCAUGUAUGUCACAUCAUUUAAAUAUCUAAUUUUAAUCAUUGUAAUAUAUAUAUAUAUAUAAAUUUAUUGGAAAUACAAAUGAAAUAUUAGUUAUUACUUGUGUAAUUCAAAUAUAUUUUAUUAUAAGCCCAAAAAGCAGCAUAUACAAUAAUUAAUGAAUUUAGGUAUAUUUAUAUUAAAUUUAAAAUUUUAUUCUAAGUGAGAAUGACUAAACGGUUUUGAUCCAAACUUAUCGGUAAAUAUUUUUUGUAUAUUUUAUACACAAACUAAUUUUUAGAAAAAAUGAAAAUAUCUAAUAUAAAUAUAUACAUAUAUAUAUAUAUAUAUAUAUAUAUAUCACUUUUAAUUAGAUCAUCUAAGCAAGUAAUGUACCAAAAAUGAAUCAUAAGCACAUUUCUUAAAAACAACCAAGACUUUAGGUAAUUAUCUAUACAAAAUUAAAAAUCAUCUGGGUAUGUGACUUCAUUCAUCGUCAAGUGCAUAUGCCUCUGGUUACACAGAUUUUGGUCUAAGACAAUGUCAUAAAGUUUAGGAUAUCAGGUACAAAACAACGUUAAUAAACAUCUUUUAGCGUUCAAAUAAUCGGCAUGCAGCAGCUAAGAACCUUUUAAUAAACUAUUUUUCUGAAUGUCUAAGUAGAUUUUAUAAAGGUUAUUUUAGAAAAAUUAUUUUGUUUCGAUCCGAUUUUUAGAAUAUUGUUUUCCAAAAAUUAAAGUUGGUUCAAAGACACAAUACAUAAUCUUUCAGUUCUAUGCAGUUUCACAUACUUAAAAAAAUAUUUUUAUAAGUUUACAAAAAGACAUAUUCUUAAAUGUAUACCUUAAACAUAAAUUCAAAAUACAUAAUCCGCGCAUAGCGCGGAGAAAAGAUCUAGUACUAUAUUAAAAGGGAUAUAUGAGCUCCAUUGAGCCUAUCCACAUCAGCAUAAAAAUCAGCCAAUCAGAAAUCUUCAAAUUGCCAUGUCACAUAUGUUUUUUCUCUUCACGGAAAAAGUCGGGUCAACAGUAUAGGCUUACAAAAAUUUGAAAUAGCCCGUUUCAAGCCCAUCUCAUCACACCCUAAUCUUCAACGCCAUCGAUGAUCGUUCCGGCUCUUCCUCUUCGUCGGAAUCGCUUUGCAUCCCUGUCAAUUGCCGUUACCAUACAUCACUCUGAAUCAUUCAGUGUGUUCUUUAUUCCUUUAUUUAUGGUUUCGUUUCUCCUCCCUUUGUUUUUCUUCUUAUAUAAAAGCUAUCGCCAUGAAAUCCACAAGAAGAUAAAGCUAUUGCCAUAAAAUCCACGAAAAGUCUCCCGUGUCCAGAGAGUACGAUCUCUUCGGGAUCAAAGUCAUCGACGAGGAGAUCAAGUUCGUCAAGGAGAUUGGGGAGAAGCUGAUGUCUGAAGCCAUGAAGGUGUUGGAGAGAGGCGUGGAAGGGCUGAAUCAAGCUGAAGUUGGGACUGGGUUGCAGGUUUUCUAUAACCUAGGUGAGCUUAAGCUUACGGUUGAUCAAUUGGUGAACAAGUAUAAAGGAAUGGCUGUGAAGAGUGUGAGCGUUGCGAUGGAUAUGAAAGCGAUUUCUUCUGGGCCUGGGUGGUGGUGGUGGUGGUUUUGGGCCUGGAGGGAUUAAGUCUAGCGGAGCGCCGCACAUUGGUGGUGAAGGUAAGGUUAGGGAGGCGCUGUGGCAGAGGAUGGGGAGUUGUAUCGAUCAAGGUGAGGAUGAUCUAAAGAAGUCUUUGAUAGAUGAGUUAUCUUCUUUUUGAGAGAUCACACAUUUUUCUAUUCCAAUAUACUUUCACGGCCGUCUUAAAUGGACUAUGGGAAAUUCAUGCUUUUUUUCAACCAAAAUUGAAAAUUGAGGAUUUAAAUGACAAUUUUCCCAUUUUUUUACCUACAACUUUUCUUUUACAGCUGCAAUUACAUUUCAAUAGGUGGUGGAAGUUUGUUCAAAGGUUUGGAAGUUAUUUGCAAAAAGAGCCAUGAUUGUCGUAUGAUUCUUCGUCUGUACAUAGAUUUGCUCAUGCUUCUUGAUUUGAAUUCAAAAUUGAAACGUCUCUCAUGAAUUCUUUUUUUAACUGUAGCUCAUUAUAUCAAGAUUCACAUAAUCAAAAGUAUGAAGAAAGGAAGAAAUUAUCUCUCAUCUGGUGAUAAGAGAAAGAGGCACUUUUGAAAUGUUUUUAAGUUCAGUCUAUGUGAUAAUUGUUAGUUGCUUCACACUACUACUCCAACGGUUAAGUUAGAACCAGCAAGUAAAGAAAAAGAUGGUAAGCUUCAUAUCCAAAAUCUUUUAUGUUAUAUUGUUCUGUUGCAAUAUAAUAAAAUUAACAAUAGUUCUUAUUCCCACUUAUAAUUUUUGUCUACUUUGAAAGGAAUAUGGUCACCUAAUUUUAAUAUCUUGGAUGACAUAUUACGGGGACUCUAAACUAUAAAAUAUGUAGUAUUGCAUUACAAGGUGUGCUAUUCUGGACGAGUAUUCUGAACUUGAGCAAAAUCAUUUAGACAAGCCCUGUUUUACGGAUUCCAACACUGAACAGUUACAUUCAGAUUUUGAGAGGCGCAAAAGAAUACACAGGAACAGAAACAGUGAGAUAACAUUGGAUGGCAGAGGUGAGAAGCUGCAGAGAAAACAGAGGCCGAGAGUCACCAUUGGGUGGCCAAGUUAUCUUGAGAGGAAAAGAAGAGAGGCUCAAGAGAUACAAGUGAAUGAUCAACAAAAUUUGGAGGAACAAAAACGAAUAGAUACUGACUAGGGAGAUUCUCUUGCAUCUUGCAAGUAGAAUGGUCUUAGUUUUGGUUUACUGAUUUUACUCGCUUAUAAUCCCGAGUCGUAGAACUUGAUGGUUCAUGAAGAAUAUAUUCAAGAGAAUCUUAAUGUUGGUGGUCAUUAUACUCUAUAAGAACAUGCAUGUGAGAAAC